rnacentral:tRNA from 1 species
GGCCUCGUAGCUCAGAUGGCUAGAGCGUUAGCUGUACUAAAACCAUCCCCUUGCUGACGUGGGCUCGAAUCCCACCGAUGCUG